UUUUGGUAAGCCAGAGGCAUUUUUAAUGUAAACUGUUCUUCUUCUCUACAUCAGGGAAGGUGAAGCAGAGAGAUCCCUAAGGUUUUCAGAGAUAUUCAGCCAUCAGCUCGACUAUCUGUUGAUCAACAAGUCAACAACAUUUCUGCAUUGCCCAACAGCCCUACAUAAUUCAUCCCUUGUUGGAGCGACGUUGGUGACUGGAUUGGAUUUCUGUUGGCUUUGACCAUGCAACCCAUGCAUUGAGAAAUUUUUUGAAAAAAGGAAGUUUCAUCCUCUAUCUGCAAUCCAAACAGAUCUCUGCUGGCAUCUAGAAGGUUCGUGUGGAGAAGCAAGGAGCUGGAAUCACAGUAUGGGAAAAAUUAUGGGACAGUCUGGCCCGUGGUGUGUUUCCAUUUGGCCAGCUGCCUUUACAGCAUAGAAGAUGAAGAAGUGCAGAUUGAUGGAAGAGCUGAACUUCUUUUGGGUAAGCUUAUAAACUUUUACAGUGAUUUGGGGAGCUUAGGUAUCUCUAAGUACCACCAUUCCUCUAAGGCACCACCGCACCUGUAAGUUAUGGAGGGUUACCACUGCAGGAGGUUUGGGGGCCAGCCUACACCCCAGUUUUUCUCAUUCACUUCUGCUGGGAUUGGGCUCUCCUAAUGAUGUGGAAAAGGGAGAAGUCACCAAGUCAGCUUUCUGUAUGGCAACAGGGAA
rnacentral:lncRNA from 1 species